rnacentral:rRNA from 1 species
CCUACGGGUGGCAGCAGUGAGGAAUAUUGGUCAAUGGCCGGAAGGCUGAACCAGCCAAGCCGCGUGAAGGACGAAGGUGCCAAGCAUUGUAAACUUCUUUUGUCAAGGGACAAAAUCAUGCUCGAGAGCCUGACCGAGGGUACUUGAAGAAAAAGCAUCGGCUAACUCAGUGCCAGCAGCCGCGGUAAUACGGAGGAUGCGAACGUUAUCAGGAUGUAUUGGGGUUAAAGGGUGCGUAGGCGGGCUGUUAAGUCAGCGGUAAAAGCCCGGGGGUCAACCACGGCGAGCCGUUGAAAUUGGGUGUCUUGAUAUGUCGAGAGGUAUGCGGAAUGCGCAGUGUAGCGGUGAAAUGCUUAGAUAUUGCGCAGAACUCCGAUUGCGAAGGAAGCAUACCGGCGGCGAUCUGACGCUGAGGCACGAAAGCGUGGGUAUCGAACAGGAUUAGAUACCCUGGUAGUC